rnacentral:rRNA from 1 species
UAGGCGGUGGGUGGAAGGGGACGUGUGUUGAGAGGUGGCAUCGGGGGUUAGGGGUGGGUAGAAGGGCCUCGUCGCUACCGGGGGUUCCGCCUCUUCUUCGGCCGCCGCUUCUUCGGGCGCCUCCUCCUCGGGCGCCGCCUCUUCCGGCUCUUCUGGGGACGGCCCUUCUUCGGGUUCCGGCUCUUCGCCGACGGCCGCCCGUUCUUCUGGCGGAGGUUCCUCCCGCCGCCGCUCUUCUCCCCGGCCUUCUUCCCGUUCUUCUCGCACCUCUGGAUGUUCUAGAUGUAGAAGUUCCACGACUUCGUCCACGUGGGGCUGUAGCCGUAGAGGAGGUUCCGGUACAGGUAGUACUUGAGGAAGUAGUUGCUGUAGAAGCUCUUCGAGCGGCCGCUCCGGCGGUUCGAGCGGGCGAUGUUGUUCUUCGGGUGGUAGUGGAGGGCCCUCUAGGUCUGGAGGCAGGCGGAGCAGGAGGGACCCCUCGAGCGGUUCGUGCGGCAGAGGCUCCCGUGGUUCCGUCAGUGGUUCAAGUGGAGGAGAAUCUAAGGUAACGGACAUAGAUUUAUCGACAAGCGGGACCAAUAGUGGUUCAUCUUCAUCACGAUCACGAACUACCCUCAACGACUUACAAACGGCUACGAAGCAAGCGACAUUCUUGUCUUAAUACUUAGAUACCACGGCGAAAACGUUCGACUC